CACAGAUAAACAUAUACCUAGUUCCUUCCUGAAAUACCAGAAAUUGCAAGCUUGUCAAAUUGUGAUUAAUGAGGAUUUACUGGAUAUCAACAUAUGAGUCUUCGGAUAUCGUCCUUCUGCCUGCUGAAAAUCAUGGAAUUAAAAAGAUAUAGAGUCCAUUCUGAGAAAUUCAAUUUCAUCAAAUGGAAAGUGAAAGCAUCUCCAAUUCUAUAUAUACACUGAAGCCUUCAUGCCCCAUUUACACUACUUGUAUCGAAUCCCGUAAUAGGUUUCUGCCUAUUGAGUCCAAAUAAAUGGUGGUUA
rnacentral:lncRNA from 10 species